GAGCGGGAUUCACUCGAGACGGAGCAAGAGAGAGAGGGAGCUGCGCUGGAUUCAUUCCUGCGGUAAGAGCAAGUCCCUCUGAUAAACACAAGACACACAAGGCCUUCUUUCAGUGAAAGCUCCUUUAUAAGGGCGGGAUGGCUAGGAUUAUCUUUCCUUCUGUCCUCGUCUCUCUCUCUCGUGCGCCAUCUCAUCUGGCUGAGUAUUCUAGCAAUGUAUAGAAAGUUGUUUUGGACAGAUGUUUACAUUAUAUUCUGGAUACAACCUCAAGUCUAAAAGCGAUUUUAAUAAUUUCCUUCUCGGAAGAACACCACAGCACCUCAGAAAGGCUCUAGCAAAGAUGUUAUGUUCUUGGUUUUCUGUGGGUAAAGCUCAAACCGGCUGGAGCAAAAAUCACAGAAUUGUCCUCUCCUCCUUUAUUUCUCAUGUGCGGCAUUUGCAUUUUACUCAGCUUAGCAAAAGAAAUAGCCUGCAGCGAGAAAACUCUAUCCACUAUGCAUAUAAGAAAGAAAGAGAGGGAGAACGAGAGAAUAAAAGACGUGAAAAAGAACACAGACAGGCUGACUGAAAGGAAAUGAGAGAUAAUCUCAACGCUACUGUCCAUUUCCAAUGUAGUCGCAAGCCAUCAUCCGUAAUGGGAAAAAUGCAUCAGCAUGCACCGCUAGACGAAGUGCAAUCCACACGUUCUUUUGUCACCUAACCACGGAUAUCUUCGCUCUAUGGUCUUAAAUAGUCUUUUGAUGGUAUCUCGAGACCAAUUUACAGAUCUGCGCCAUUAUUACCACGGAGCAGACGCAUUAUGUCUGCCCGUCUCUUUUAGGAAGGGGUCAUUCUCAGGGAAGUAUCUUCGCAUGUUACCUGAGGACGCCACAGGCGUGUUAUCAUCCUCAGACCCUGCCAACUGUAUGUGUCCCCAUCUCUUCUGACAACUAAAGGGACCCAUCAAUGUUUCAACCCACAGAGAAUGACUCAAAGGGCCUUUAAAGUGAGUAAAACCCAUUCUCUUUAAUUCUGAUUACACUCUGAAAGUGUCUUUAGCAUGUGGCGGCUAAAUUGGGCUAUCAGCGCUAAGUAGCGGCGGGGAAGAAAA